AGUGGCGGACGGGUGAGUAAUGCUUAGGAAUCUGCCUAGUAGUGGGGGAUAACCCGGGGAAACUCGGGCUAAUACCGCAUACGCCCUAAGGGGGAAAGCGGGGGACUUUCGGGCCUCGCGCUAUUAGAUGAGCCUAAGUCCGAUUAGCUAGUUGGUAGGGUAAUGGCCUACCAAGGCGACGAUCGGUAGCUGGUCUGAGAGGACGACCAGCCACACUGGGACUGAGACACGGCCCAGACUCCUACGGGAGGCAGCAGUGGGGAAUAUUGGACAAUGGGCGCAAGCCUGAUCCAGCGAUGCCGCGUGUGUGAAGAAGGCCUGCGGGUUGUAAAGCACUUUCAGUAGGGAAGAAAAGCCGAGUGCUAAUAUCACUCGGUCUUGACGUUACUUACAGAAGAAGCACCGGCUAACUCCGUGCCAGCAGCCGCGGUAAUACGGAGGGUGCGAGCGUUAAUCGGAAUUACUGGGCGUAAAGGGCGCGUAGGCGGUUUGGUAAGUCGGGUGUGAAAGCCCCGGGCUCAACCUGGGAAUUGCAUUCGAUACUGCCUGGCUAGAGUAUGGUAGAGGGAAGCGGAAUUCCGGGUGUAGCGGUGAAAUGCGUAGAUAUCCGGAGGAACACCAGUGGCGAAGGCGGCUUCCUGGACCAAUACUGACGCUGAGGCGCGAAAGCGUGGGGAUCAAACAGGAUUAGAUACCCUGGUAGUCCACGCCCUAAACGAUG
rnacentral:rRNA from 1 species